rnacentral:rRNA from 1 species
AAUCAACGCUGGCGGCGUGCCUCAGACAUGCAAGUCGAACGCGAAAGUUCCCUUCGGGGGAUGAGUAGAGUGGCGCACGGGUGAGUAACACGUAGGUAAUCUACCUUCGGAUGGGGAAUAACAACCGGAAACGGUUGCUAAUACCGCAUAAUGCAGCGGCACCUAAUGGUGACAGUUGUUAAAGCGGGGGAUCGAAAGACCUCGCGUCUGAAGAGGAGCCUGCGGCGGAUUAGCAGUUGGUAGGGUAACGGCCUACCAAGGCUACGAUCCGUAGCCGGCCUGAGAGGGCGGUCGGCCACACUGACACUGACAUACGGGCCAGACUCCUACGGGAGGCAGCAGUGGGGAAUCUUGCGCAAAUGGGCGAAAGCCUGACGCAGCGACGCCGCGUGAGGGAUGACGGCCUCGG